UGGGUGACCGCCUGGGAAUACCCCGUGUCGUAGGCU
rnacentral:rRNA from 1 species